AUUGAACGCUGGCGGCAUGCCUUACACAUGCAAGUCGAACGGCAGCGCGGACUUCGGUCUGGCGGCGAGUGGCGUACGGGUGAGUAAUACAUCGGAACGUACCCUGUUGUGGGGGAUAACUAGUCGAAAGAUUAGCUAAUACCGCAUACGACCUGAGGGUGAAAGUGGGGGACCGCAAGGCCUCACGCAGCAGGAGCGGCCGAUGUCUGAUUAGCUAGUUGGUGGGGUAAAGGCCCACCAAGGCGACGAUCAGUAGCUGGUUUGAGAGGACGAUCAGCCACACUGGGACUGAGACACGGCCCAGACUCCUACGGGAGGCAGCAGUGGGGAAUUUUGGACAAUGGGGGCAACCCUGAUCCAGCAAUGCCGCGUGUGUGAAGAAGGCCUUCGGGUUGUAAAGCACUUUUGUCCGGAAAGAAAUCGCGCUGGUUAAUACCUGGCGUGGAUGACGGUACCGGAAGAAUAAGCACCGGCUAACUACGUGCCAGCCGCCGCCGUAA
rnacentral:rRNA from 1 species